rnacentral:rRNA from 1 species
CCUACGGGAGGCAGCAGUGAGGAAUAUUGGUCAAUGGACGAGAGUCUGAACCAGCCAAGUAGCGUGAAGGAUGACUGCCCUAUGGGUUGUAAACUUCUUUUAUAUGGGAAUAAAAUGUUCCACGUGUGGGAUUUUGUAUGUACCAUAUGAAUAAGGAUCGGCUAACUCCGUGCCAGCAGCCGCGGUAAUACGGCGGAUCCGAGCGUUAUCCGGAUUUCUUGGGUUUAAAGGGAGCGUAGGUGGAUUGGUAAGUCAGUUGUGAAAGUUUGCGGCUCAACCGUAAAAUUGCAGUUGAAACUGGUAGACUUGAGUACAGGAGAGGUGGGCGGAAUUCGUGGUGUAGCGGUGAAAUGCUUAGAUAUCACGAAGAACUCCGAUUGCGAAGGCAGGUCACUGGACUGCAACUGACACUGAGGCUCGAAAGUGUGGGGAUCAAACAGGAUUAGAUACCCGAGUAGUC